UUCAGAGAGUCUAUACCGUACCAUAAUGUUUUCUGUAGACUUUCAAUUAAAAUUCUCAUUUUUUUUUCAGUCUUUUCAUAUUUUACAAAAAUUAGAGAAUGACACUGGCUUGUACAUAAAGUAGAUUGUGAUAGCUUGUAACCAGAAUGCUUAUAUUUUAUGAUGCUUUAUACUUACUUCAUAGAAGGAUUCUUGUGACUUCAUGUGGCUUGUUAUUGUAGACCCUGUUAGAAAGUGAAGGUGAGAGAAUUCCAGCAGCUAAGCCCUAGGGUCAUGCUAGUGAGAAUGUUCUUUGUGAGCUUGAUUAGCAUGCAUGGUGGUUUCUGUGAGGUAAUAGUUAAUCUGGGCAGUAAUUAGCAUAGUUUGUUAAAAUGUGAGCACAUAGCAACCGAAUAGCUAAUAUUUUACAUCUGUUCUCUAUAACUUUUUACAGGAUCUUGUUUCUUUGUGUAAUUUCCAUAACUAUGAUAAUUUGAGACACUUUGCAAAAAAACUCGACCCUCGAAGAGAAGGUGGUGAUCAAAGGCAUUCCUUUGGACCAUUGGACUAUGAAAGUCUCCAACAAGAACUUGCUUUAAAAGAGACAGUAUGGAAAAAAGUGUCACCUGAGUCAAAUGAGGACAUCUCUACAACUGUAGUGUAUAGAAUGGAAAGUCUGGGAGAGAAAAGCUAAAGAAAUGGGUCCUAGUUUCAGAUGUUCUUCAUUUAACCUUUCAAACAUCUUGAGCUUUUUUGAAAUAUUUAUUUGAUUAUUUUGUGUGUGUGUUCUGAACCGUGGUGCUGGAACCACAAAACUUUUUUUUCCUUGUAAUCUUUGUAUGAAGAUAAUAGACUUAAAAUGGAUUUGUUGGUAUUUAAAAAUUAUAUUUACAAGUAAACGAAGCAACUUUUCCUUAUUUUUUAAAAAUGCAAAAAGGAAAAUUAAGAAAAAUUUAUUCAUAUAAUUAAAACUUUAAGUAUAGUCAGAUAAUCCAUUGUCAUUUCUUAGUUCUAAAAGUCACAAAUUGAAUUUAUAAGUUUUGUUGCAUUUUACUUUUUCACUUUUAAAACCAACAUAAUGGUGAUAGUGACAAUAGAAAGUACUUAUGCUAAAUGCAUAACUAAAAA